rnacentral:rRNA from 1 species
AACGAACGCUGGCGGCAGGCUUAACACAUGCAAGUCGAACGCAUCGCAAGAUGAGUGGCAGACGGGUGAGUAACGCGUGGGAACAUACCCUUUUCUCCGGAAUAGCCCUGGGAAACUGGAAUUAAUACCGAAUCGGCCUUACGGGGGAAGGAUUUAUCGGGGAAGGAUUGGCCCGCGUUGGUUUAGCUAGUUGGUGGGGUAAAGGCCUCCCAAGGCGACGAUCCAUAGCUGGUCUGAGAGGAUGAUCAGCCACAUUGGGACUGAGACACGGCCCAAACUCCUACGGGAGGCAGCAGUGGGGAAUAUUGGACAAUGGGCGCAAGCCUGAUCCAGCCAUGCCGCGUGAGUGAUGAAGGCCUUAGGGUUGUAAAGCUCUUUCACCGAUGAAGAUAAUGACGGUAGUCGGAGAAGAAGCCCCGGCUAACUUCGUGCCAGCCGCCGCAGUAACAC